rnacentral:rRNA from 1 species
AUUGAACGCUGGCGGCAUGCCUUACACAUGCAAGUCGAACGGAGAUAUGAUUUCGGUUGUAUCUUAGUGGCGAACGGGUGAGUAACGCGUGAGCAACCUGACUCUUAGAGGGGGAUAACACUCGGAAACGGGUGCUAAUACCGCAUAAGACCACGACAUGGCAUCAUGACGAGGUCAAAGGAGCAAUCCGCUGAGAGAGGGGCUCGCGUCCCAUUAGAUAGAUGGCGGGGUAACGGCCCACCAUGUCAACGAUGGGUAGCCGAGCUGAGAGGCUGAUCGGCCACACUGGAACUGAGACACGGUCCAGACUCCUACGGGAGGCAGCAGUGGGGAAUAUUGGGCAAUGGGCGCAAGCCUGACCCAGCAACGCCGCGUGAGGGAAGAAGGCUUUCGGGUUGUAAACCUCUGUCCUUGGUGACGAAAAAAAUGACGGUAGCCAAGGAGGAAGCCCCGGCUAACUACGUGCCAGCAGCCGCAGUAAAAC